CCUCAAAUCACAGCUGUGCUGGAUGGGAGGGUUACUGUUGGGAACCAGGUGUCUCUGGAUAAGAAUAGCAACCUCUCAGCAAAGACGUCUUGACUCUUCCUCUCCAAAUCUCGUACCCUUGAUCCACAACCAGGAGGAAGAACAUACACAGCAAAGCAACACAACAGGGAAGAAAAUCAGAGGAGAAGAUCACUGAUCCACUACAAAGUUCGUGGCUGCUGGACCCGGGUGGCAGAAAUGGACUAUCGGAUCCCAAAAAAACACCACAGUUCACCACUUCCUCACCAACUUGUAACCUUCUUCCUCUCCACUGGUCAGAGGUGAUCAAGAAUCCGUCGACAGUGCUAGGGCACGGUGAAGUCGGCUGCCGGUGCUAGGGCACAGCGAAGAAGUUCUGUGCGUCGGCGUCGGCACGAUCAGUUGGACUGCCCGAGUCCUCGCAUCUCAGUAGCGGCCAUUCAUUUACCUUAAGGGAUCUUGAGCUCACAACAAGUCAUUUAUCCAAUGACAAUGCCCUCGGGGAGGGUGGAUAUGGAGUUGUAUAUUGUGGGCGUUUGAUAAAUGGUACUGAGGUUGCAGUAAAGAAGCUUGUGAAUAAUCUGAAGAGAAGGAAUUCAUAGUAGAGGUGGAAGCCAUUGGUCAUGUUCGGCAUAAGAAUCUAGUUAGGCUUUUGGAGGAUUGCAUAGAAGGGAUUCACAGGAUGCUCGUGUAUGAGUAUGUCAACAAUGGAAACUUGGAGCAGUGGCUACAAGGAGCUAUGCAUCAAAGAAGCAUCCUUAGUUGGGAGAAGCGCAUGAAGGUCAUCCUUGGCACAGCAAAGGCGUGAAAGAGAAAGACAUAAUUUUGAAGUGUUGAUAAAUAGACGGAGAUAAGCUAUUAUAAUCCAAAAGCAUGUGAGAAAAUGGUCUACUAGAAAGAUCUUUAAUGAACAUCUUGAGGGAUGUUAAACUACUAGAGUGGAAACAUAAGAAAUACACCUCUUGUUUUGAUUGCCGCUCUAUGUCGGGACAAAUCAAAUCCAUAUGGUGAUUUUACCAAAUGUAGCAAAGAUGGAAAUGCAUACAUAUCAUUUGGCCAGUGGGUAAGUAGCAUUCCAAUUUAAGCUUUAUUUCAAGCAACAUUCAUUUAAUUUAUUCUGGGAACUUUUAAUCACAUUUUAAAGUUAUCCAUGUACUUAUUUUUGUUGACUACAGCCUCAACAACAACAACAAGCCAUUAAUUCUGGCCAUUUAUUUAGGGAACUUUUAUAAAA